rnacentral:SRP_RNA from 1 species
GCCAGGCGCGGUGGCACACGCCUGUAGUCCCAGCUACUUGGGAGGCUGAGGCAAGAGAAUCGCUUGAACCCAGGAGGUGGAAGUUGCAGUGAGCCAAGAUGGCACCACUGCACUCCAGCCUGGGUAACAGAGUGAGACCCUGUCUCAA